rnacentral:rRNA from 1 species
UACGUAGGUGGCGAGCGUUGUCCGGAUUUACUGGGCGUAAAGCGCGCUCAGGCGGUUCUGUAAGUCCUGGGUGAAAUCGCCCGGCUCAACUGGGCGGGGGCCUGGGGGACUGCGGGACUGGAGGGGCCUAGAGGCCGGUGGAACUCCCGGUGUAGUGGUGAAAUGCGUAGAGAUCGGGAAGAACACCAGUGGCGAAGGCGGCCGGCUGGGGGCGCCCUGACGCUGAGGCGCGAGAGCGUGGGGAGCGAACCGG